rnacentral:lncRNA from 1 species
GCCUUGGGUCGGGCAUGGCGGCGGCUGCGGAGGGCGUCCCGGCGACGCGACGGGAGGAGCAGCCACCUCGAGGUACUACCCUGUGUGGAUGGAGAUGCGGCGGCUGAUGGUGGGGAGGCUAGGUCCGGAUGCAGGAGCCGGUGGACCUGUCUACCGCAGUCAGGGCACUGAGACGAAAGCCUAGCUCCUGAGCAUGGGAACGGAGUUGGCGUUUCAGGUGGGCGGGUGCGAGGAGAAGGGACGGGAUGGUGGCAGGAGGAGAACGAAGGCGGCGGGAGCCCAAGUCGGGAGGGACUUAGGAACCGUCCGCUUUGGCUGGAUUAGGUCUGGGGAUAGGACGUUUACUCCUCACCUCCCACCCACACCUUGCCAGAUGAUGCUGCGGUGGAGACAGCCGAGGAAGCAAAGGAGCCUGCCGAAGCUGACAUCAAUGAGCUCUGCCGGGACAUGUUCUCCAAAAUGGCCACAUAUUUGACUGGGGAACUGACAGGUGAUACGCAACCCCUUCUGGCUGAUCCCAGCUGUGUAUUUGCAUUUGACUUCACGGAAAUCUGAAUGGUGCUUUAGCAGCCUCUGGUCAGUCCAUGGUUGAAUGGGAGGAAAGGAGCCGCUCUCCCCCUUGUCUUUCCCCAGGGAAGCACACCAACCACUUUUGAAACACAAAUCUGCAGGCCUCUUGUCAUAAAGGCCAACAACAAGAAUUCCACACUGUUAGUCCAGAAGUGCCCCGCCGGGGGAGAAGUAUAUUUUAAGCAGAGUUGUGAAGGAAAUGGAAGGGGGGGGGUACGUGAAACAGUCCAGUUAGUAAAAGAGCUGGAGUAAGCAAGCAUUUGAUGAAACCUGAAGGUUAGUCUGAAGAUUUGCUGACCCACCCGUGGGACACGGUUAGAUUUUAGUUCAGUGUCCCUGCGUCUGCAUCUGUGUCUGUGUCUGAGGCAGAGUCAGAAAGCAGAGGCUGGACCUUCUGGGGUGACAUAAGAACUUAUACUGUUUCACUGCUCUGUGAAAAAAUUACUCUCUCUCUCUCUCUCUCUCUCUCUCUGUGUGUGUGUGUGUGUGUGGCUUAGAACGACUUUCGAGAGUUGGUCCUCUUCUUAGACCACGUAGGUCACGAGGACCACGCUCUGAUCUUCAGGCUUGGUAGCAAGGGCCCUCUCACAGGCCCCACCCCAGGAAAUUUUUCUGUGAGCCCAAUUUGUGAACCAGGAUCUAUGAGGAAAGGUUUAGUAGAGAAGUUGGGGGGUUGUAAGUCGCAGAUUUUCUCUGCCUGAUCGUUCACUUAUUUUUGAGCAAGAGAGACCAAGUAACAAAAAUCCAGAUAUAUGGGUUCUCCCCACAAAUUCUGAAGUCUAUCGUAACUUACUUAGUAGGGCUCUACUUGACCAGGGUUUUGCAGCCUUUUAAGAAGACUGGAUAAUCUGGUUUGUGUCACCACUGGCUGGUCCUUUAGUGUGAUCUUGUGGCCUUUGCUGGUUAGCACUGUUCUUGUUCUCUUGUUUUUUUUUCCAUUUGCUGUAGUUUAGAGAUGGAGUUGUCUGACCCAGUGCCUCAGAACUAGUAGGGAGUGCUGGGCUGAGAGGGCGCACACUCCUCCGAAGAGGGAAUGAUGGUUUCCUUGUGUGUUUAUUAUAUAAACACUUGUGUUACUCCACCCAUACACAUUCCUCUGCUGGCUUCCAAGUGUGUGGCCCUUGUUUUAGAGAGAUUAUGACUUGAUGGCCUCGAGAACAACUGUGGAAGAGAGAAGAGGAACAGUUGUCCAGAAAGUAUCGGGAAUCUGAGGCAGAGUGAAGAUAAGAAGAAUGGAGAGUUUGGGCGUGAGCACAAUGCAGAUGUAGACUUUAUCCGGUACUGAGCAGGCUAAGGUACUUGUUCGUGUGGGUAGGACCAACAACCAAAAUAGGGAAGCUGACAAGAGGAACCGUGUUUCUGUGGGAAACGCAGCUCUGGCUCAGCUGUUUGUAGCCGUUACUGGAACACCCAAGUGGUAGUGCAGAACUGAGACUGAUCGUUGCAGAGGAGCCACCUGUGAGGUGGCAGGGAUGGAGACUACGCAGAAAGAUCACUAAGGAAGAGCUUAUUGGUGGACCUCUUCUGGACCUAGAUUGACUUCUCAGGAAAUGGAGCAGUUUGUAUGGAAUCGCUGGGCACUGAACCCGGGGCUUUGCAUAGGCAAAGCGAUUGCUUUGUCCAGUGAGCUACAUUUGCACCCUUAAGUAGAUUUUUUUCUUUCUUUUUUUUUUUUUAGAUAAUUACUUAAAAUUGUAAAGUUUCUAAGUGAUUAUCAAACAGUUAAGCCAGUAUUCUCUCUCCAUGGCUGCCGUGCUUACUUGCACACAUGCUUUUUGCAGAGGAAAAACUGUCAUUUACCAUUUACUCACUGGGCCUGCGUGCAUUGUGCAGCUCGUGCAUAGAGGCUGGAGGACAGCUGUGGGAGUCAGUGCUCUCCUUUCACCCUGUGGGUGCUGGGGCUUGAUUGUGCGCAAGCAAGAUGAGACCUGAAUUCUGGGCAGGUAGAGGGAGGAGGCUUCCUGGAAUGUGUUGGCCCAUCUAGAUAAAUCGGUAAGGUCCACUUCCAAUGAGAAAUCUCGUCCGAAAAAAUUAAAGUAGAUAGCAGUUGAGAAAGACCCAUUGACCUCUAGCCUGCACAUGUCUACAUGUCACACACACACAGACACACACACACACAGAGUUGAUAUAUAUACAUGCAUACAUAUCUACAUAGAAGGUUUAUAUCUCUAGUUGAUGCUGAUAUAUUAAGAUGAGAUCCCCCAAAUUACACACACACACAUAUUUAUAAUUUUUUUUUUUUUGAGUCAGGGUUUCUCUGUGUAGCCCUGGCUGUCAAGGAACUCACUCUGUAGACCAGGCUGGCCUCGAACUCACCAAGAUCCACCUGCUUCUGCCUCUCAAGUGUUGGGAAUUAAGUUGUGUGCCAUCAUUACUUGGCUUAUAUAUUUUUUUAAUACUGCAGAGAUCCCAAGAUGAUUUCACCUCUCUUUUCUGAGACCUUGAGUUUACCUUUUCUAACUAUGACACUAACUCUUCUAGACCUCGCUUAGUUGAGUUUGCUGACUGCAGCCUCGGUUUCUCCUCAGACCUCCAGGGUAGAGGCUAAGUGUAAAUGUCACUGAUGGAAAGCAACCCGCUCUUUUGACAUUCCCUGGGAUCCUCCCUUGAGCUUCUGCACGUCCUUCCUAAACCCCUUUGACCUGAAGUUCUGUAUUCCAGUAACUGCAGACAAAUCAAAGGUCUCCUGUCUUCUGUUUAUCUUAAAGCCACCAGUGAAGACUACAAACUCCUGGAAAAUAUGAAUAAGCUAACAAGCUUGAAGUACCUUGAAAUGAAAGAUAUUGCUAUCAACAUCAGCAGAAACCUGAAGGACUUAAACCAGAAAUGUGAGUACUCGGGUGCAUCCCUCGAACAGGCACUGCUUGUAUUUCAUGCUCCUUAGUGCUCAGAGCCCAAGGGCAGGGCACAAGGAUCGCUGCCUCCAGCCAGCUCCUGUUGCAGAAAGCAUGAUCGAGCAAGGGGAAUUUCUUCCAUCCCGAAGGUGGGUCAUUUCUGCUUCUGCACCUUGCUUUUAGAUAGUAUAUUCCCAGAAGGAGAGUGGACAGACGAGAGUCUAGUGAAUUUGAUUUAACAGUGAAAUCAACAAAGAACUAUUUUAUAAGCCCAAAAUCUACACAUUGAAAAUUUAAGACCAGAUGUCGCAGCGGAGGCCUUUAAUCUCAGCCCUUGGGAGACAGAAGCAGGUAGGUCUCUGUGAGUUUGAGGCUGGCCUGGUCUACAAAAUGAGUUCCAGAACAGCUAGGGCUACACAGAGAAACCUGGUCUUG